rnacentral:rRNA from 12 species
GCUCGGUGAAAUUGUAGUAUCGGUGAAGAUGCCGGUUACCCGCAGUGGGACGAAAAGACCCCGUGCACCUUUACUAUAGCUUCGUAUUGACUUCGGUCAAGCAAUGUGUAGGAUAGCUGGGAGACUUUGAAGCUGCAUCGCCAGGUGUGGUGGAGUCAUUGUUGAAAUACCAGCCUUUGCUUGUCUGAAGCCUAACCUUCUUUUGAAGGAACAGUGCGUGGUGGGUAGUUUGACUGGGGUGGUCGCCUCCAAAA